GCUUCCUCCUCUACAGUAAAGACAAGGAGAAUGGCUGCUUCCUAAGGUGAUGGCGAGUCCAGUGUGACCCUAAGGAUGCCGGUAGCCAUCUUGCCACUCUCGGGAGAGGAAGAGCCACAGAGACAAGGCAACUCUGAGAGCUGAGUCCUGAUGACCGGUCGAAGCACCCGAAUUCAGCACUAGGUGAUCUGUCUCCACUGUGCUUUUAGCAACACGGCCUUGAAAAAGAGACUCUGAGAGACUCACUCCAGUCAUGCAGAAUUUUGGGACAAUAGUGAGGUUUUCUCCCCAGGGAUCCCUUCCAUGUUUGAAUUUCCCCACUCCAAGAGUUGUUCAGCAGAGGCCAUGGGGACUGGCAUCUGGAUCCCGACCCACACUUACUCCAAGUUUUCCACUUUCGGAAGUCUCCCAAUCUUCAGGCUGAAGUUGACUUCAGUGGGGCAGGCAACUGCAUGCCCUACCUAGGUGCCAGUGAGAAUUGGAUUCAGCUUUUAAAGACCCUACUUUCUGCCUCCAAAUGGUCUAAACAAAGAUAGAAGUGUAUUUCCUUCUCAGGUGAAUGAAGUCUGGACUUAGUCUUCCUGAGGUUGUCAUGAACCAGGAUCUCUUUAUCCUGCUUUCUCCCCAUCCUCGGCGUUUGGCAUAAACCUUCCAUGACUCCUUUCCCUCCCCUCUUCUCUCCCCACACUGCACAUGCCAUGUCACUUACUUCAUUGGCUGGAACACGGAGACUCCACCAGCGAGGGAGGCUGGAAAAGGCAUUCUUCAUUCUGAGUGCCAGUUUCAUGUCGGGGGCCCAUCACUAAGGAAGAAGAACAGAAUGGAUAUUUGGGGGAUACUAGGAGUUCUCUGACCUCUCAUGCCACUCCGUGAUGUGCCGCAGCAAAAAUCCUCACUGGAAUAGCUCCAGUGCUGGUGAUGCCAAUGAAGGCCACUGUGGAAAAGAAAAGAAUAAUUAAUUCCAGACACAUCAGUAAAGACACCCUCCUGUUAUAAAUGCUGAGAGAAUGGCUUGGGACCACCUGGGGUCGUUCUCCAUCCUGACCAUUUAGAGAUCACUACCCUCAGGGAGUAAGGUCUCAAAUCCCAUCUCAAUGCCUCAUAGACAGCUGGACUUACAAGGAUUUAGGCCCACAGAAACAUUUUAGGAAACUUCCAGGGAGUCAGAGAUCAGGCAAGGGAGCUGCGUCCCUGCGUGACCCCAUCUCAGCUGAGAUGAGACAAUAGCGGCUUUCUUCGUGAAAAACUAAAGUGGGAAAUGUUUCUUGAUAUGUUUCACUACCAGUCUAUAUAGAGGGUCCGUUUAUGAAUAAGAGAAUUGUGGAAUUCCACACAAGGUUGUUGGGUCUCAGAGCUCCUUCUGCAGCUCAGGAGCACUGUAACUGGAUUCUCCAAAGCAAAAACACUGCUUUUGCAGGUCAUUAACAACCAUGUGACAAAACUAUCUUCAGGGAAGGAACCCAACCUCAACACCUCAACAUUCACUAGUUAACACUUGCAGAGUGCUUAAAGUGCUGGUUGGAGCAUGGUAGGGGCUCAGCAAAUAUUAGUGAAACAAGUGCCUGGACAUUCUGGGUAAGAGAAGCCAUUAUUAUUAGAUAUUUAUGAUGCAUUUACUAUGUAUAAGGGAUAUAAGCACUCUGAAGGAUCACAGAGAUAAGACAUUGUCCUUGCCCUCAAGGAGUUUACAAUCUAAUAAAGAAAAUAAGAGGCUGGGCACAGUGGCUCACGCCUGUAAUCCCAGCACUUUGGGAGGCUGAGAUGGGCGGAUCACAAGGUCAGGAGAUUGAGACCAUCCUGGCUAACAUGGUGAAACCCUGUCUCUAAUAAAAAUACAAACAAUUAGCUGGGUGUGUGGCAGGCGCCUAUAGUCCCAGCUGCUCAGGAGGCUAAGGCAGGAGAAUGGCGUGAACCCGGGAGGCGGAGCUUGCAGUGAGCCGAGAUCAUGCCACUGCACUCCAGCCUGGGCGACAGAGCGAGACUCCGUCUAAAAAAAAAAAAAAAAAACCAAAGCAAAAAAUAAUCAAGGUAAGAAUCUGGGUUCCUGCCUCCCACAAUUUAUAAUUGUAAAUGUGUUUUGUUUUUUUUUUUUUAGCAAGUUUAUUAAGAAAGUAAAGGCAUAAAGAAUGGCUACUCCAUAGGCAGAGUGCCUAUAAUUGUGUCUUUGAAGAGGCUGGUUUUAAUUUUUAUUUUCUUUUAUUUGUUUAGUUUUAGAGAUGGGUGUCUUGCUAUGUUGCUCAGGCUGGUCUCAAACUCCUAGCCUCAACCAGUCCUCCUGCCCUCCCUUCUAAAGUGCUGGGAUUACAGGCAUGAGCCACUGUACUCAGCUAAGGCUGGUUUUAAAAUCCUCUCAUUUCUCCUAGAAGAUGGUGAGGAUGUGAUGUGGGUCACGUGGGCCAGGCUCGGGGGGUCAUGGGCAGCACACUGUCCUUGGAAACAGCAGCAGUGGUGCCUCCUGUUUGUUCCUGUCACCUCUUGCUUCCUAGCUGAGCCUCUGCCUCAGUGUCCCCUCUCCAAGAUGAGGCAACUGCAUGUGUGUCCUGCAGCUCCCUCCCUCCCUUGCACUCCUAGCUGCUAGAAGCAGUCAUAUCUGUGAAUCACAUAGAGCUCCCUGACAUCUGGUCUUACAUCAAAUCUUUCUUGGCAAUAUAAGAGUGAAACAUCCAGUUUUUCAAACUGGCUGUUUUGUUUUGAAUUCAUCUUCAGAUGAGCUUUUCUCAGGAGAAAUGAGGAGUGGGGGACAGAGAGCAGAAUAAAAUGCCCACAGGAGAGUAAAACAAGAUGCCAAAAGACCAGGAGGAAGACCACAGAUUUCCAGAGCCUGAUCCUCUGCCACCAGACCCUGAGGGCAGCUCUUUGAUUUCUGGUCACUCGUGUCCUCCAUUCCAUGCCUUCGGCAGCCACCACCACAACCCCGGGGUCGGGCACCUCCACAGUGUACAGCAAGUUUACUACCUAGCAAAGUAUGGCCCAGAUCAACGGGGGCUUCAAAACCAUCCACACUUACGUUUCAUUCAUUCAUUUGCUAAUUUAUUCAUUCUAUAUUCAUUCAACACUCAUUGAGCACCAGUAGGUGUCAUCUAGAAGUCUUGUCUCCAUUUGCUAUCAGCAAGGGUAUCACCUUUUCUAUACAAUGAGUCUCAUUUCCCAAGAGUGGUUUUGGAUUUGAAAGCAGAUGUUACUCAGAACCUUUUCUGAGGGCAGUGUCUCAGCUCCCCAGGGAGGCCUCCAGUUCUCCAAAGGAGCCUUAUACAUCUUUGGCCCAGGUUAGCAUCCAUCUCCCUGCACAUCCUCACAGAUAUUAAAAAGGAUCAAAGCAUCUUUGGACAGUCCCGGGUUGUCUCCAAGGAAAUCGGAGGCACCUGGAUGUAACUAACAAAGACUCUUUGUGUCAGUGGGGCUGAGUCACCUGACAGGUCUGAAAUGUAACUUCCUCCUCUGGGGCCAGGAGAAUGGAAUCCGAAAGGCUAGAAGGAUAGAUCAAAAUGAAGAUAAAAUUUUAAAGGAAUGAAAGUAGAGUUUUGUACUUAGUGAUUAAAAGAAGAAAAGAAAUGACGAAGGAAAAAGGAAUCCCAUUUGACGGUGUUGUAUGUGAAACUGACUUAGAGAUUUUGGUUGACUGCAAACUCAAGGUGGACUAAGGCCUGAUGUGGCAGCUGGAAACCUGAAUGGACUUUGAUUGUGUCACAGAGUCAGGAGUGUCUAGUGAGGAGACAGUAGCCCCCUGGGUUUGUCACAGGUCAGGCCAUUUGUAAAAUAUUAGGCUUAGUUGUGGGUCCAUGUUUUAAGAUACAUUUUAACAAACUGGAAGGACCCCCAGAGAAAGGUGGUAUAAGUGUGGGAACCACACCGCACAAGAAGCCACUCAUGUUCAUCUAUAAAAAUGAUUUACGGACAUGACAACCUUCUUAAAAUAUCUGAUUGUCAAGAUGUAAAAGGGAGCCUGGAGAACUGAAGGCUGAGAAGGACUUCAUUCUCAGAUUGUGGGAGAGACCUUCUGACAUGGAUUUCUACAACCUCUGGCCACUUCAUCUCACAAUUUAAUCUGCAUCUUCCUCUUUCCCUUCAUGUCCUCCUGUCUUAGAGGAAGAAUCAUUCCUCCUCCUUCCAGAGGCUGACCUCCUCCUCUCCCAUCUCCUGCAGAACAUGCCCUGCUAAUUACCAUCCCCUCCAGAAUCCUUUAUUUUUCUUUCUUUCCAUAAGCCCACAAAUACGAGGGAGAUGAUUAGUUAGGUACUUAUUACAUGCCAGGUGCAUAGUAAUUAAUCUGCCUUAUCUUGAUUAAUCCUCAAACCAAUCCAAUGAAGUAGGUGACAUCCUCUCCAUUUACAGAUGAAGAAACAGAGGUUAGCUGGGUGUGGUGGCUCAUGCCUGUAAUCCCAGCACUUUGAGAGGCCAAGGUGGGCAGAUCACUUGAGGCCGGGAGUUUAAGACCAGCCUGGCCAACAUGGUGAAACCCCCUCUCUACAAAAAAUACAAAAAUCAGCCAGGUGUGGUGGUGCACACCUGUGACUCCAGCUACUCAGUAGGCUGAGGCAUGAGAAUUGCUUGAACCUGGGAGGUGGAGGCUGCAGUGAACCGAGACCCACCACUGUAUUCCAGCCUAGGCAACACAGCAAGACUCUGAAAAAAAGAGAAAGAAAGAAAGGAAGGAAGGAAGGGGAAAGGAAAGGAAGACAGAAAGGGAGGAAAGAAGGGAGGAGAAAGAAAGAGAAGAAGGAAAGAAAGAAAGAAGAAAGAGGAAGGAAGGGAAAGAAAAGAAAGGAAGACAGGGAGGAAGGGAGGGAGGAAGGAAGGAGAAAGAAAGAGAAGAAGGAAAGAAGAAAGAAAGAAAAGAAAGAAAAAGAAAGAAAAAGAAAAAGAAAGAAAGGAAGAAAAAAGGAAGAAAGAAAAGAGAAAGAAGCUGCAAGGAGUUCAGUGACAUUUCCAAGCUCACCCAAGUGAGCUUGGCCAAGUUUGAAACUUGAAGAGUGCUUAAAGUUCUGGAUGGACUCAAUUCCAGGUCCAUCUGCCAUUAAAACCCCCAAGCUCACUUGCUUCCAGGCUUUAAACGUGCUCCUCCAUUCCCAGCCAAGUGCCUUUAAAGAAGGCUUUCUCUGUGGAUCUACUUUCUCACCUCUCAUCCACUCAGCCUGCUGCAGCCUGCUUUCUGCCCUCACCCUCUGCAGAAACGGCCUGCAGAAGGUCAUCAGUGACCUAGGUUAAUCCCAUCAGCCUCUCCUCAGUUCUCACCCCACGUGGCCUUUUGUGGCAUUGACAUUGCUGGCCAUACUCAUCUUCCCCUACCCUCCACCCUCUGCCACAUCUGGCUGAGCCCCUUUCUCUCACCACUUCACCUCUCAUCCUAUAAUCCCCACCUCAGGUCCCUCCUUCCAGGUGUCAUUGGCCCUUUUAAAGGACCUGAGGACUCAGCUAAAGUUGGAAAUCAGGAAUGUGUGUGUGGGACUUCCUGGUAGGUGUAGGGGUGCUAUGGGUCUAAAUGUGUCCCCCUGAAAUUCACAUGUUGAAGCUUAAAUGCCAAUGGAAUAGUAUUAAGAGGGGGGCCUUUUGAAGGUGAUUAAGUCAUGAUUCCUUAUGAAUGGGACUAAUGACCUCAUAAAAGAAGUCCUGCGAAGCCUCUUUUGCCCUUCCCUCUCUUCUGCCAUGUGAGGACACAGCAGUCAUCUCUGUCUUCCUCCUCUGCCAUGUGAUGACACAGGAAGAAGUUGCCAUAUGAGGGACAGGCCCUCACAGACACUGAAUCUGCUAGUGCCUUGAUCGUGGACUUCCCAGCCUCUAGAGCUAUGAGAAAAUAAACCUCUGUUCUUUAUAA
rnacentral:lncRNA from 1 species